CUACGUAGGUGACAAGCGUUAUCCGGAUUUACUGGGCGUAAAGGGCGUGUAGGCGGUCUUGCAAGUCAGAAGUGAAAUUCCUGAGCUCAACUCGGGCGCUGCUUCUGAAACUGCAGGACUUGAGUGCUGGAGGGGAUAGCGGAAUUCCUAGUGGAGCGGUAAAAUGCGCAGAUAUUAGGAAGAACACCGGUGGCGAAGGCGGCUAUCUGGACAGUAACUGACGCUGAGGCGCGAAAGCGUGGGGAGCAAACAGGAUUAGAUACCCUGGUAGUCCACGUCGUAAACGAUGAAUACUAGGUGUAGGGGGUAUCGACUCCCUCUGUGCCGCAGUUAACACAAUAAGUAUUCCGCCUGGGGAGUACGGCCGCAAGGUUGAAACUCAAAUGAAUUGGCGGGG
rnacentral:rRNA from 1 species